rnacentral:pre_miRNA from 1 species
UCUGGGAGAGGAGGGUACCUCAGCCCGGAUUGCGAGAGGGUGCUGGCCAGGCCAAGGGACCCCACUGGUGCACG